CUCGUUCGAGCGCCAUUUCUAACGGUCAUUUUAGAGGCGAGUCUACAGAUUUUUCGUCUUUCAUGGCAGUUCUCGUGGAUUUUAUUCGUUUACAAACAACGUCUUUCAACUAGUAAGCUAUCCGAAUGGCUGUAGUGUCUUUAGGCAUGAUAUUUAACCGUGGAUGGCCGUCAACUGGUGAGAUUCGUUGGCAAUUUUCAUGUAAGGCACCAAAUCAAAGUCUUGAAACGAAUAAAUAUGGAUACAUGUAGUGUACAAGAAGCUCAAUCCAGUCGCUCAAUCAGCUGAAACUAAUGUAGG